UUCUAUAAAAGGGAAGCAGUGCGAUGUGGGAGCGUGUACUCCGAGGAGAAAGAGGAAGUGCUGCCGAAGAAGAGACACUUCAGCUGAGGCCUGAAGGCUGAGCUCUUGGGGUGAGGGGGAGCGGGCAGGAAGCAGGGGAAGGGCAGGCCCGGUGGAAGGAACAGCAUCGGCAAAGCCUCAGCCGCGGGACUUGCAUCUGUCCAGCUAGGGAUCUGAAAGGCGGCCGGCUCGGCACAGACACUUCGCCAAAACAAAGGGCGGUUGGUACAUCUCUCACCGGAGUGGAAAAAAGGGGAAACCCUUCUAGAGAAUUCUGUUUCAAGCUCAGGAAUCACCAACCAGAAUGCCAGGGAGUGGAGGGUGAAUCAGGCUGCCCUGGAGACCCCCUCCCCACGGACUGGCUGGAAACCUGGCCUGGGGGAACCGUCUCUGGGCCUGACAUCGUCCACCCAGGCCCUGCCCCGACCCGCUCUUUCUGAAGGAGGGACCUGGUCACGCUCCCGAUUUCUCUGCCUCAACCUGCUCGUCCCGGCUCGCCGCGGGGUCCUGCAGAGGCGCCGCGGGUCUGCGGGAAGUUCUUCCGGGUCACGCUCAAGGUCAAAUUGAUUUGCAUGUGAGCCUCUGCUUCCGGCCAGCCCCGGGUUCACGGUGAACAAGACCGCAGAGGCUCCGUCACCCCGGGAGAUUUUGCUCUCCAUCAGGAUGAACAUCAGAAGCUCCAGAUUUUCAUUCUACUGGCUUAGCCACCUCGCAGAAAGAGAGGCCACUUCAAAUCCCAGCAAACAAAGGAUGCUGGGGCCAUUACGCCAUCAGCCACUACGGCGCUCCACGAUGGUCAGCGGAGGGAACUCAGGCUGGAGACCAGCAGGCUGCUUGCUGACAAGUCCUCAGCCUCUGCAGCCAACACCCCCAUCCCACCAGCCAUGCUGCCUGCUGAGGGGAAUUAGGAUGGGAAAGCACAGGACACUGGCCCUGGAGCGCCAAGGGUCUCCGACUGCGCGGCACGUGAAUGAUGGGGUGACGGCCCUGCUGCUGUGUUGUGAACCCACCCUGUGCCCCAGAGGUGCUCCCCCGCAGUGACCCAGCGUGGAAGGGAAAUGAAGGUAGGCCCAUUCUGGCAAGACGUGGAAUGCCUCCGAUGGGGGACCUUGGCUCCAGGAUUUCCCAUCAGCCUGGACAAAAACUUCUUACUGUGCUGAGCCCCCUCCUACCUGACCCUCCUUGGGCCCCUCACUCCCAGACCAGCCUCUCAGCCUGCAGCCUCUCCCUCCUCCUCCUCAUCCCUGUUUCCCCCCAUAACCCUCUUGCACAUCUAAUCUCACCUUGGCAUCUUCUUGAAGGACCCAAACUGACCCAGCACUGUGGGAAUUAGAAAAAGAGACCCCGCUCCAACCACCACUGCCACGUCCGGGUGGAUGCGUAACAAUCAGAAGCUUUUUCCCACGUGGGCACACUCCAGUGCUACCUUAGAGUGACUGUGCUCACUGGCCAGGCCCCGAGUAUCCCAGCCUCCACUGUCCCCACCUGGCCCUUUCUGCUCCCCUCACCUGCCAGGGUCCUGGGACACUGAGGUUUGCCAAUCUGGUGGUCGCACCAACUUGCUGUGUGUCCUUGGCCCAGCUGCUGCCCCUUUCUGAGUCGUGCUCACCUGUUCUUGCAACCAAGGGAGAAAGACAGGCCCUUCUCUUCGAGAGCCCUCUACCUCUGUGCACUGACAGCGCUAGGGAAGAUGGAGAGGGAGAUAAAGAGAAAAUAGUACUGCUUAAUUGCCUCAUUAAGCCCGCCUUGUUGGGAAACCAGAAUUGGAGCAGGCUUCCUCUGUUUUAUUGCUCGCCUGCCCCCUCCUCAGCGGAUCACGCAGCUGAAUGCCGAGGGGGAUGGGGGAGGGUGGGGAAGGGGCCUGGAGACAGCGGAGGAUGCUUGGGAAGGGGCAGGACCUGGCCAGCCUCAGGCACAGCGAUGUUCACAUCCCUGUUGGGGUUUUAUUUGGCCACAUGUAACAAAGCCCCCCAAACGGCCACUUAAACAAGAGUGGGAUUUAUAUUUCUCCCGUGUGACAGUGACGGUAACAAGUGCUACUGUGGAACGUGACCUCCGUGGGCACCCAGAGCUGUUCUCAGCGUGGUACAUAGAUUAACUCACAUUAACCCCAUGUCCUGGGGUGAAGAGCACCCCUGCGAAAUUCACGUCCACCUGGAACCUGUGAAUGUGACCUUAUUUGGAAAUAGGGUGUUGACAGAUGUGAUCAAGUUUAGAUGAGGUCCUACUGAUCAGGGUGGGCCCUUAGCCAAUGACUGGUGUCCUUUAAGAAGAGGGGAAUCUGGACACAGAGACACAGAGGGAAGCCUGUUAUGUGACAACAAAGAAAGAAGUUGGAGGGGUGUGUCUACAAGCCAACGAACAUCCGGGAUUGCCUGCCACCAGCAGAAGCUCAGAGAGGGGCAUGGAACAGAUUCUCCCCAGAGACCCCAGAAGGAACUGACCUUGCUGACACCUUGAUUUCAGAGUUCUAGCCUCCAGGACUGUGAGAGAUUAGAUUUCAGUUGCUUUAAGCCACUUUGUGGUACUUGGUUGCAGCAGCCCAGGAAAGAAAUUCACUCCCAGAAGCGGGUUCUGUCCCCAUCCCCAUUUUACAGAUGGGAGCCUGAGGCACACUGAGGCUUUCCUCCGCUGCCACCUCCCUUAGUCUGUCCGAGCCUUUGCUUCUUCAUCUACGAAACGAGGCUCACGUGCUGCUCCUCUGUCCCCAUCGCACAGGGCUACCUGAGAGGAUGCUCCCCAGGCCCUUGUGUGUGCUGGACAUGUGUGUGUUGUUGUUUUACCAUUUCCCCCGUUUCUCGUGGCAUUAAGGACAUUCCUACUGUAUAGCCAUCACCACCACCCAUCUCCAGAAUUUUUUAAUCUUGCAAAACUGAAACUCUAAGCCCACUAAACACUAACUCCUCAUUCCCCCUCCCCCAGCACCGGCCACUCUACUUUCUGUCUAUGAAUUUGACUCUGGGGACCUCAUAUAAGUGGAAUCAUAGUAUCUGUCCUUUUGUGACUGGCUUCUUUCACUCAACAUAAUGUCCCCAAGAUUCAUCCAUGUUAUAGCAGGUGUCAGAAUCUCCUUCCUUUGUAAGGCUGAACCAUAUGCCAUUGUGUGGAUGGACCACAUUUUGCUCAUCCAUUCGUCAGUAGAUGGACAGUCGAGUGGCUUCCCUUUUGACUACUAUGAAUAAUGCUGCUAUGAACGUGGGUUACAAAUAUCAGACGUGCGUGUUUUAAAAUUCUUAAUUAUCAACAUUGUCAACAUCUGUGCCGUUUAUUUUCUCUUUGCCCCCAGCAUUCUUUCUCCACGGGGCUGACCCUACAAACGACAUCUCCCAGGCUCCCUCUGGCCCCGGCCAGGCUCAGCCAAUGGGAGGCAGUGGCAGGAAGCUGGUGGGCGGGGAGAAAGAGGUGAGGGCACUUGUUCCUCUAGCUCCCUCUCAUCUCAUCCACUUCUGGCAAUGGCUUCAUCUUUGCAGGACCACAGCUUUGGAAGCCUGUCUCCUCCUGUCUGGCUCCCAUGCUCACUGGACUCCUAUAAUGUUGCUUCCUCCCUCUGUCCCUUCGGACCCAGGAGCAGGUACACCCCCACAAGUGUCAGCCCCUUUCACUCUGCCACCUCCAUGGAGAGACCCUUCACCACACACUCUUUGCUGGACCAUCUGAGGGCAACUCUGUCUCCAGCUGGACCCUGAAUGACACACCCUCUUUAUUUUACAGAUGAGGAAACUGACACACAGAAAGAUUAAGUAAAUUGCUCAGAGUUAUAUCCCUAGUGAACCGGCUUGAACACAGGCUGUCUGAUUCUAGAGUCCAUGCUCUGAAUCAGGGCUCAGCCAACCACAGCCCUUGAGCCAGACCCGGCCCACUGCCUGUUUUUGUCAAUAAAGUUUUACUGGCACACAGCCAGGCCCACUGA